ensembl:lncRNA
UUUUACGCCCAUAUUCUGUGAGUGAACGUAACGUCUUUUUUUUAUUAUUAUUAUCUAAAACAGGAUUGAAAAACGUAGGCCCUGUUCUCCUGCUGUGUAAACGUAUGUUGACAACAAAACUGUCACCGUAUACAGACAUUGCAUGUAUGUCAAAAUUAUAAGUGCGUGUUAUAAUUGGGAAAUGGAUAGAGAAUCGUGUCAUGGUGAUGUGAAUUUGAUUACAGUCUCAAGGAGGGACACUGUAUUCAGCGUGGUGACUGACAGCAGAGGUGAAGGAAGCCUGCAGUGAAUAACAGAGAAGGAAAAUGAACACCCACACAUGAUGGGUCCUCAGGACAUCAGACAGCUGCUAUUAUGUCUGGAGGAUGAAAUAUUAAAGAAGAGCAGAAAAAGAGAUCAAGGCUGUGUAUGGAGAUGGUGCCGCCUCCGCAGUGCAUUGACAUGCAAACCAGAUCCCACUAGAGACAUGGAGAGAAGUAUCAAACCGAGGACUGACUGAUGAAUGACUAAGGUUUGCUUAAAGGUUACCAUCUCUUCUUUUCGCUCUUUUUAUCGCUCUUUCUCUCUCCUGUCAUUCUCAUUCCCUCCUCCUGAUUAAUUCGUCUUGAUUAUAUGCCAUGAAAUUAUUUGGCGCAUGACACACACAUAUAACUCUGCUCUACUGAUGUAAUAUGAAGCAUGUCCGCUCACAUCAGUUCAGCGCUCAUUGACAGUUCUUUCCUAGUAUUUAGUAUCUAUUUUUGAAAUGCACUCGGACUAGCAUUAGUAUUGAUUGAGUCAUACUCUCAAUAAUACAUGUAUUUACAAAAUGCUGAGUUAAUCUUAUCCAUUAGAUGUGGCCAGUUAAUAUAAAAUUAUGUAAUCACAUCAUUAUUUUUUUAAUGCUAUAACAAAGCUUGAUUGUAAGAAUUUUCAUGGGCCAGAGAGAUUGUGUCAUUCAUUGUGCUUUGGUUUACUGUAACAAAUCUAUCUAUCAGAAUCAGCAUUGGUCGCACGUCUAUUCAUUUCAACUGACCUUUUUAGAUGUUAUGAAUGCUUUUAGCUUAAAUUUUAUCACGAAAGUAUACAUAUAAGUAUACAUUAUUUAGCUGAUUGACAUUGCUAGACAGGGUUCUGUCGAAAUGGAAACAACUUAGUUUGUAAACAUCAGUUUGAAUGGAUUGAAAAAAGAAACAAAUCAAUACUGCUUUAUACCACAAGCCAUUGGUUUGCAGCAAAAGCUGAAAAGUUAGGAGCAUUUUUCUCAACAAUUUCCAGCAAAUUGCCCAUUUUGUGUAAUUUAUAUUUUUAUACAAUUUUAGCCUUUUGUCAUAUCCACCCCUGUAAUUUCAAUUUGAAUUCAUAACUGCACAAUUUAUGGCUUACGUUUGCAUUAGUGCACAAGAUCCUUUGUUCAACAUACAAAAGAGAUGAAAAAUGAUUGUCGAGCUCUGUACAUACUGAUACAUACACUACUAAAAAUAAAGAUUCCAAAAAGUGUUUUUUGCACCCAUUUUGGGUUCCCCAAAGAACCUUUCAGUGAGCAGUUCUCUGUCAGUUUUCUUAAAAGAAAGUUUUCUGUCCAUUUUCUCAGUAAAUAACAUUUUAAUAGUCUAAAGACCAUUUGCCCACUAUGAAGAAUCUUUUGUGGAU